rnacentral:rRNA from 1 species
AUUGAACGCUGGCGGGAGGCCUUACACAUGCAAGUCGAACGAGUGGCGGACGGGUGAGUAAUGUCUGGGAAACUGCCCGAUGGAGGGGGAUAACUACUGGAAACGGUAGCUAAUACCGCAUACCAUCGGAUGUGCCCAGAUGGGAUUAGCUAGUUGGUGGGGUAAAGGCUCACCGAGGCCACGAUCCGUAGCUGGUUUGAGAGGAGGACCAGCCACACUGGAACUGAGACACGGCCCAGACUCCUACGGGAGGCAGCAGUGGGGAAUAUUGGACAAUGGGGGCAAUCCUGAUGCAGCCAUCCCGCGUGUAUGAGGAAGGCCUUCGGGUUUUAAAGUACUUUCAGCAGGGAGGCGUUACCUGCAGAAGAAGCACCGGCUAACUCCGUGAGAGCCGCCGCGGUAAUUC